rnacentral:rRNA from 1 species
UUACCAUCAGACUGGAUAGGAGAUAAGAAGGCAUCUUUUUAUUUUUAAAAGACCUAGCAAUAGGUAUGCUUAGGGAAGAGCUUGCGUCACAUUAGUUAGUUGGUGGGGUAAUGGCCUACCAAGACGAUGAUGUGUAGCCGGGCUGAGAGGUCGAACGGCCACAUUGGGACUGAGACACGGCCCAAACUCCUACGGGAGGCAGCAGUAAGGAAUUUUCGGCAAUGGAGGAAACUCUGACCGAGCAAUGCCGCGUGAACGAUGAAGUAUUUCGGUACGUAAAGUUCUUUUAUUAGGGAAGAAAAGAUGGUGGAAAAACCAUUAUGACGGUACCUAAUGAAUAAGCCCCGGCUAACUAUGUGCCAGCAGCCGCGGUAAUACAUAGGGGGCAAGCGUUAUCCGGAAUUAUUGGGCGUAAAGGGUGCGUAGGCGGUUAAAUAAGUUUAUGGUCUAAGUGCAACGCUCAACGUUGUGAUGCUAUAAAAACUGUUUAGCUAGAGUUGGAUAGAGGCAAGUGGAAUUCCGUGUGUAGUGGUAAAAUGCGUAAAUAUACGGAGGAACACCAGAAGCGAAGGCGGCUUGCUGGGUCUUAACUGACGCUGAGGCACGAAAGCGUGGGGAGCAAACAGGAUUAGAUACCCUGGUAGUCCACGCCCUAAACGAUGAGUACUAAACGUUGGAUAAAACCAGUGUUGAAGUUAACACAUUAAGUACUCCGCCUGAGUAGUACGUACGCAAGUAUGAAACUUAAAGGAAUUGACGGGACUCCGCACAAGCGGUGGAUCAUGUUGUUUAAUUCGAAGGUACCCGAAAAACCUCACCAGGUCUUGACAUGCUUUUGCAAAGCUGUAGAAAUACAGUGGAGGUUAUCAGAAGCACAGGUGGUGCAUGGUUGUCGUCAGCUCGUGUCGUGAGAUGUUGGGUUAAGUCCCGCAACGAGCGCAACCCUUGUUGUUAAUUGCCAUCAUUAAGUUGGGGACUUUAGCAAGACUGCCAAUGAUAAAUUGGAGGAAGGUGGGGACGACGUCAAAUCAUCAUGCCCCUUAUGACCUGGGCUACAAACGUGAUACAAUGGCUGUUACAAAGGGUAGCUAAAGCGUAAGCUUCUGGCGAAUCUCAAAAAAGCAGUCUCAGUUCGGAUUGAAGUCUGCAACUCGACUUCAUGAAGUUGGAAUCGCUAGUAAUCGCGAAUCAGCAUGUCGCGGUGAAUACGUUCUCGUUGUUCGG